rnacentral:rRNA from 1 species
CGUGCAGGCGGCCUAUUAAGUCAGAUGUGAAAGCCCUCGGCUCAACCAAGGAACUGCAUCUGAAACUGGUAGGCUUGAGUACGGGAGAGGAGAGUGGAAUUCCCGGUGUAGAGGUGAAAUUCGUAGAUAUCGGGAAGAACACCGGUGGCGAAGGCGGCUCUCUGGACCGAUACUGACGCUGAGACGCGAAAGCGUGGGGAGCAAACA